UAGUCUUGCUUUUAUGGAAAAUUAUAACUUAUUUAAUUUUUCUCACUCUCAGAUAUAAUUGCUUUUCAAAAUCUUGUAAAUUGAGAUUGUGAUAGCCUGAUAGGACUGCCACUUAGAAUUAGACCAGAGUGUGACUGUGUCCAUUUUAAAAUGAUACAAUUUCCAAUCAUUUUUUUUCUUUGUCAUGUGUCCAAUAGAAUUUUCACUGCAUGUCAGGUGCAAGGAAAUGGGCAUGCAAGUAGUUUUUGGGACUUUUCUGAGCUCAUGCUAAAAACAAAAAAGUUAUUACUGUACGGUACUGUACUAACUUGAUCUAUUUUAAUUUCAGAUAUCCGUGGAACAAAUCAUCUGAAAACUAAGAGAGGAUGAAGAAUACUUCUGUUAAAAAGUUGAAGUAACUGAUGAGCAGAUCAAUCCAACUUGAACAUGAUAUCAUUUCUCCAAUGAUGAAAACAAGUCUCUCUAUACUCAAGCAUUGAUAUUUUUAAAGUCAACUGAAACUGGAACAGGUCAUACAUGCAGACUACAGUGAUGUGUUGCACAGUUCCGAAAACAUGCAGCCACUACUAGCAUAAGCAUGAUAAGUGUAAGUGGGUCAUCAAAGAAUGAGAACCACUCAAGGACUUUUCUGUUGGUUGAUGAUGGACUACAAACUGAAUUUUUAACAAAGGAAUCCACCUUGGUGCUUAUUGGCUACUUAUGAUGUGAACUUGUGCAUUUAUUAUACCAAGUAAUUUUACAUUUCCUUAAUAAUACUAGACUUGCAUAAACCGAAUUCAGGUUUAGUUGAUUGAUUGCAGUAAUGCAGUUCUAAGCUCCUCUCGCAAGAUUAUAUCUCUGAUGUAUGAGACAUCAUUAAAUGCAGACAUUUUCUCUGUCCUCCUGUCGUGACUUGAGGGCUCGGACUUAGCUGUAAAAAUGUUUAUGAUGCAAGAGAAAAAUGUUCAACCGAUGUAUGUAAAUGUUGAUAAUAACAUUAAAUAUUCUUUGAUAACUAG